AAGAGCUUUCUUGUAACAUGGCAACUACUUUGUUUACUUUUGUUUUAUAUCCAGGGGAAGUUAUUGCGCCAUUCCCCUUGUAAAUUCCGCAACAUACUUUACUCCUUGCUUUUUGCUUUUGUUCAACUAUGAAUAAACAACUUUUUUAAUGCAUAUUUGUAGCAUCAUAACUUAAAUACUAAAUAACAUCAUAUGGAACAGUUUUCCUUCUCCAAAAUGAAAAAGCAAUUGCGAGCUGGCAAUAACGAUAACAGGAAAAAUGGACGGCCAAAUCCAUACUUACACUCCUGUGCAAUUUGGCAUAUUAAAUUGUUGAAAUAAAUCAAAACCUACCUGCACUUUAGAUCAUAACUUAUCAUUGAUACUAUAAAUACAAAUUAGCUGUGCCAUUUAUGACUUGUAAAAGAGUUCCAGUUAUUGCUGACUGCGCUCUAAAUUUUGCUCAUUAUACUCUAAAUUUUCAUAAAAUGACGGUGAUUCUAGACUUACAGAGGGUAACUAUUUCAUUUUAUGAAAAUUUAUAACACAAUCUGCAAAAUCUAGAAUGUAAUCAAUAAUUAGUGGUACAAUUCAUUAGGCCAUGGCUAAACUGCGUUUAAUUGCUACAAUUUGUGCAGGUUCAGGUAUUCUAUAGGUUACAAUAAAUGAGUUGGUCCCAAAUAGUAAUGCGGUAUAAAUAUAUUUUUAGUAGAAAAGGGACACUAUUUUGUCAUAUCAUCACAUACAAACUGGUCCAUCUUAACACAUCCAUAAUACUCCUGGUCCAUCUUAACACGUCCAUAAUACUCUUAUUAUGACAUGCAAUAUACCGGGGUAAUACGGAUACCACAGUAUUCUGGAAAUGGACAGGUAAACCAAAUCAUGAGGCAAUUACAGAUCCUUGGCUGCAUAACAUAGCAACAUAAAGUACCAGAUUGAAUCUCUGAAAUGCCUCCGUUCAUUGUACUUAUCCUGAGGCUCAUCACAUUGCAGAAAACCCAUGCAACCCAACUUCCACAAGGUUCCUCUUAUUUUUCUUCCCUCAUGCCCUCCCCCACAUCCCCCAAAAGCAACCACACCACUCAGGGUAUUUUCAGCCUGUUACUUGCCGACUUGUCCGGUAAGCAGUGUUCCAAGAGUUCCUUGGGAUUUUGGAAGUGUUCCAUAGUGAUUUAAAACAGCAACAUGAAAAUUUCAGAAGAACAAAAAAGAAAUGGCAUUUGCUUCAAAUAUGAGCUAGUUGAUACAUAUUUUCAGACCCAGGAUAACUAGAGAAAGGAAACAUAUGAAAACUUUCCAAUAAAAGAUAAUUAGACCAGCAAAACUGCAGAUAAUUUGUGAAUGAUUUGAUUCAUAUAUGCAUACAAUAUUAAGAGCAGCAUGUCACAAUCAAUAUUACUAAAGAAUACAAUAGCCUGUGGCUAUUUCCAGUAAAAUACACAAAGUAGGAAAAGGACAUUAUAAAAAUAUAAUUGAUCUAAGAAGGGAAAAAAGAACUAUAAAACAUAUG
rnacentral:lncRNA from 1 species